rnacentral:rRNA from 1 species
AUUGAACGCUGGCGGCAGGCCUAACACAUGCAAGUCGAAUGGUAACAGGAAACAGCUUGCUGUUUCGCUGACGAGUGGCGGACGGGUGAGUAAUGUCUGGGAAACUGCCUGAUGGAGGGGGAUAACUACUGGAAACGGUAGCUAAUACCGCAUAACGUCGCAAGACCAAAGAGGGGGACCUUCGGGCCUCUUGCCAUCAGAUGUGCCCAGAUGGGAUUAGCUAGUAGGUGGGGUAACGGCUCACCUAGGCGACGAUCCCUAGCUGGUCUGAGAGGAUGACCAGCCACACUGGAACUGAGACACGGUCCAGACCCCUACGGGAGGCAGCAGUGGGGAAUAUUGCAUAAUGGGCGCAAGCCUGAUGCAGCCAUGCCGCGUGUAUGAAGAAGGCCUUCGGGUUGUAAAGUACUUUCAGCGGGGAGGAAGGGAGUAAAGUUAAUACCUUUGCUCAUUGACGUUACCCGCAGAAGAAGCACCGGCUAACUCCGUG